rnacentral:rRNA from 1 species
GACGAACGCUGGCGGCGUGCUUAACACAUGCAAGUCGAACGGAAAGGCCCUGCUUUUGUGGGGUGCUCGAGUGGCGAACGGGUGAGUAACACGUGAGUAACCUGCCCUUGACUUUGGGAUAACUUCAGGAAGCUGGGGCUAAUACCGGAUAGGAGCUCCUGCUGCAUGGUGGGGGUUGGAAAGUUUCGGCGGUUGGGGAUGGACUCGCGGCUUAUCAGCUUGUUGGUGGGGUAGUGGCUUACCAAGGCUUUGACGGGUAGCCGGCCUGAGAGGGUGACCGGCCACAUUGGGACUGAGAUACGGCCCAGACUCCUACGGGAGGCAGCAGUGGGGAAUAUUGCACAAUGGGCGGAAGCCUGAUGCAGCAACGCCGCGUGCGGGAUGACGGCUUUCGGGUUGUAAACCGCUUUCGCCUGUGACGAAGCGUGAGUGACGGUAAUGGGUAAAGAAGCACCGGCUAACUACGUG